UACGUAGGGUGCAGGCGUUAAUCGGAAUUACUGGGCGUAAAGCGUGCGCAGGCGGUUUCUUAAGUCAGAUGUGAAAGCCCCGGGCUUAACCUGGGAACUGCGUUUGAAACUGGGAGACUUGAGUGUGGCAGAGGGGGGUGGAAUUCCACGUGUAGCAGUGAAAUGCGUAGAGAUGUGGAGGAACACCAAUGGCGAAGGCAGCUCGCUGGAACGGUACUGACGCUGAGGCGCGAAAGCGUGGGGAGCGAACAGG
rnacentral:rRNA from 1 species